rnacentral:rRNA from 1 species
UACGAAGGGGGCUAGCGUUGCUCGGAAUUACUGGGCGUAAAGGGCGCGUAGGCGGCACUGUUAGUCAGGCGUGAAAGUCCUGGGCUCAACCUGGGAACUGCGCUUGAUACGGCAGAGCUAGAGGAUGGAAGAGGGUCGCGGAAUUCCCAGUGUAGAGGUGAAAUUCGUAGAUAUUGGGAAGAACACCGGUGGCGAAGGCGGCGACCUGGUCCAUUACUGACGCUGAGGCGCGACAGCGUGGGGGGCAAACAGG